UACGGAGGGUGCGAGCGUUAAUCGGAAUUACUGGGCGUAAAGCGCACGUAGGUGGUUGGGUAAGUCGGAUGUGAAAGCCCUGGGCUUAACCUGGGAACUGCAUUCGAUACUGCCCGGCUAGAGUAUGGGAGAGGGAAGCGGAAUUUCCGGUGUAGCGGUGAAGUGCGUAGAUAUCGGAAGGAACAUCAAUGGCGAAGGCAGCUUCCUGGCCCAAUACUGACGCUCAGGUGCGAAAGCGUGGGGAUCAAACAGG
rnacentral:rRNA from 1 species